rnacentral:rRNA from 1 species
GAAUCAAUUUGUUGGUCGUGCCUCGGUACGUACUGGUAUUAUUGGUUUCUACCUUUUGAAGAACCUUGAUGUCAUUAAUUUGGUGUCUAGGGGAAUAAGGACUGUUACUUUGAAAAAAUUAGAGUGUUUAAAGCAAGCAUACGCUUGAAUACAUUAGCAUGGGAUAAUGAAAUAGGACGUUUGAUUCUAUUUUGUUGGUUUCUAGGAUCGACGUA